ACGUGGGCGGUGGCACCGCCUGGGGCGGGGCGGGGUAGCCCCGUGGCGGUGGCGGGCAGCAGCAUGGCGGCGGCCGCGGGAGCGGGGGAGAGGGAGGCAGCCGGCCCGCCGGGCGCGUGCCCCGGCGCGGACAGCGGGAACGUCUCCCACAGCCACAGCAGCGCUUCCGGCCUCGGGGAGCCGGAGGACGAGGACGCCUCGGAGGCGUCGCUCAGCGCCGCCGCCGCCGCCUAUUCCGCGUGCAUGCUCGCCGACCGCAGCCUCUUCAGCGAGCAGAUAGACAGCUUAGACAAGAGCCUAGAAGAUUUGCUGACCAGAGUGGAUGAAUUUGUGGGAAUGCUGGAUAUGAUUCGAAGUGAUUCCUCUCAAGUUGUCAAUGAAAGUAUACCUCAAAUUUACACAAAAGCUACAGAAAUGAGACAGAUCUACAGGAAGAUUGACAAACUAGAGGCUUUUGUGAAGAUGAUUGGAAAUAGUGUAGCUGGACUGGAAGAACGGGUCAUAAAGGCAGAAACAGACCUUGGAGCUUUUCCAAGCACUUUCAAGAAAAUCUUGAACACAAUCAGCAUACCAUCCUUCCUCAAUAUUUUGCCCCAAGUUCUUCCCUUGUGAAUACCAGGCAGUGUAAAGUACAGUACUGUAAGACUUCUAAUAUCACUAAGGAUGUAGACUCUCUCAAAAGAAAUCAUCUUCCUCACGUCAACAACAGACCCUCUAUGAACCUCCAGUCCUCUUCAAGACUGAAGACUAUUUUCCAUGUCUUAAUGAAGCACCUUAUUGAUGAUUUUUGCUUUGGGAUUGAUACGAAUCAGCCAGAACAGACACAGCCAAGUGAACAAAAGAAAUGCUAACCUCAAAAUAGCUGCAUUUCUGAGCAUUACUGAUGGCAUAUUGCCGAACUGAUUCUCAUUGUCUUCCUUCAGGCAGUAUUUUCAGGUAAUCUUUCUUUUGUGUACAUUAUUUCAAGUCUUCCUAAAAGACAGGAUACACUUUCAGAUUAUAGUGGGGAAGUAACUUAGGGAUACUUCUGCAUUAUAACUUUUUUUUUUAUAUAGGGAAAUAAUAGGAAACAUACUUUUAUAUAUAAAUCUUUUAACACACAAAUGUCUGUGCUGCAGCAAGUGUAAAUAGCUGUACCACAAGGAUGUUUGUUUUGGAUUUUUUCUUUUUUUUUUUUCUAAUGUACUGAUUGAGGUGAAAGAAAAACUAUGCAUAAAACCAUCUACUCCCAAGUUUUGGUCCCUGUGGUUUGUACAGAGAAAUGCACCACAUUGGGAUGUACAAGUUGCAAGGGGAGGACUUGGAAGAUCGGCGAGGAGUCAAGGACAAGGCUCAAUGCAUGUGAUCUAGUCCCAGUUCACAAAUCAAACGUCCUGCCCCAACCGAUGAUCGUCAGGUUACAGUGACCUGAGCUUCUAAUUAUUGCAGCAUUGUGGUGUUUGGUGUGUUACCAGGUGGGCAUGAUAUGUGUAUAUAUAUAUAAAAAAAACCUGCUGUCAAAAGAAAAAGGUAUCUAAGUUGAGGCAGGGACGUCCCUGGACUGAGCCUCGAUCGGGUGCCUGACCAGACUGUCUGCUUUUCCCUUGCAACCCUCCAUGCGGUAACUGGGGCUCCCCACGCUGAUCGCAGUAUGAAUAUAUUAUCAAUAAACUAAUAGCUGUCUAA